GAUGAAGAAUGCAGCGAAAUGCGAUAAGUAAUGUGAAUUGCAGAAUUCCGUGAAUCAUCGAAUCUUUGAACGCACAUUGCGCCCCCUGGCAUUCCGGGGGGCAUGCCUGUCCGAGCGUCAUUUCUGCCCUCAAGCACGGCUUGUGUGUUGGGUGUGGUCCCCCCGGGGACCUGCCCGAAAGGCAGCGGCGACGUCCGUCUGGUCCUCGAGCGUAUGGGGCUCUGUCACUCGCUCGGGAAGGACCUGCGGGGGUUGGUCACCACUAUAUUUUACCACGGUUGACCUCGGAUCAGGUAGGAGUUACCCGCUGAACUUAAGCAUAUCAAUAAGCGGAGGA
rnacentral:misc_RNA from 1 species